rnacentral:rRNA from 1 species
CCUACGGGGUGCAGCAGUGAGGAAUAUUGGUCAAUGGUCGGGAGACUGAACCAGCCAAGCCGCGUGAGGGAGGAAGGUACAGAGUAUCGUAAACCUCUUUUGUCAGGGAACAAAGACUGGGACGCGUCCCCGGAUGAGUGUACCUGAAGAAAAAGCAUCGGCUAACUCCGUGCCAGCAGCCGCGGUAAUACGGAGGAUGCGAGCGUUAUCCGGAUUUAUUGGGUUUAAAGGGUGGGCAGGCGGUCUGGUAAGUCAGCGGUCAAAGCCAGGGGCUAAACACCGGCCCGCCGUUGAAACUGGCAGUCGCGAGUUGGAGAGAAGUAUGCGGAAUGCGCGGUGUAGCGGUGAAAUGCAUAGAUAUCGCGCAGAACUCCGAUUGCGAAGGCAGCAUGCCGGCUCCACACUGACGCUGAGGCACGAAAGCGUGGGUAUCGAACAGGAUUAGAUACCCCUGUAGUC